GAUAAACGCUGGCGGCGCACAUAAGACAUGCAAGUCGAACGGACUUAAUCGAAAUAUUUAUAUUUUGAAGCGGUUAGUGGCGGACUGGUGAGUAACGCGUAAGGAACCUACCUAUUAGAGGGGAAUAACAGUGAGAAAUCAUUGCUAAUACCGCAUAUGCCAUAGAUAUCACAUGAUAACAGUGGGAAAGGAGCAAUCCGCUAAUAGAUGGCCUUGCGUCUGAUUAGAUAGUUGGUGGGGUAACAGCCUACCAAGUCGACGAUCAGUAGCCGGACUGAGAGGUUGAACGGCCACAUUGGGACUGAGAUACGGCCCAG
rnacentral:rRNA from 1 species